UAUUCCACUUGCAUUUUUCCAGUAGGGUGAGAUCAGCUGCUAAUAAUUAUGACAGGUAAUAUACAUAUUACCUAUUAAAAACAUCCAUUUCACACUAACAUAAUUCUACCAGGGGCGGGUUUUGAGAUUUGCAUAUUUUGCUGUUAUUUUGAGGAUUUUGAAAGAAGAACCGUUCCAGAGCCAAAUGAGUCGUCUCUUUACGGUGAACGGAGUCAAAAGAGCCGGCUCACCCAAACGACUUGGAAUUACGUCACUACACCAGACUAGGUAACGUGAUCACUACCAGCAAAGACAUGAAAACAGUUUAACACAUUUUACUUCAGUGUAAAGUUAUAGUUAUGGGAUAAUAAUAUAGGGAUUUAUAUUAGAUUUAACGAACAAUGCUCUUGGAUGUAGUAUUUAAUAACGUAUUUAGUUUCUAUAGGGGGGCGAUUUAGACUUUCCUCUUUUUCUGGUCCAUACUCCAGUCCAUUUAUAGGAGGCAAUGCACCGGAAACGUUGGUUGCCAACCACUGUGAAAAUUAAAGAAGAAGAAGACCAAGAAGUAGAAGAAGAACAACAACAAUAACAAAAACAAGAAUAAUAAUUAUUCACGGUGUUGGAGCAUGUUGUUGGAUGAAGUUUGAUUAGUUUUGGUAUAGUUUCAUUUCGUGAAAUACAAUCAGAAAUCACAGUAGCUGAAAUGGUGAUGGAGGACAAACCCAACCUGCUGCUCUCCUUCCACACUGAACUCAAACAAGAACCACUAGAUGCUGAUUGUGACAGUGGAGCUCAGUGUUUAUUGGUGGAUUCAGAGAUGACAUCAGUAAAGCAGGAAGACAAAAGUCAAAUACUUGGACUGAAUGUUAAAAUAAAAAAUGAGGAGGAGAAGAAUGUUGGGGAUUUAAUGAAUCAAGAUGUAGGAAAUGUAUCAACUUCAGCAAUCACAUCUGAAGAGAAUCAACAGGAAGACUGCAAAGAUGAGCAGCCUCACCCCUGCCCCUGUUGUGGAAAAUGUUUCCUAAAUGAAUCAGAUUUAAAAAGACACAUUAACAUAUGUACAAGAGAGAAA